rnacentral:tRNA from 1 species
ACCUGCCUGGCUCAGUGGAUAGAGCAUGAAACUCUUGCUCUUGGGGUUGUGGGUUCAAACCCCAUGUUGGCUG